UAGAACAGAUGGACCGACUUCAGAUUCAAACCUUUUGUUUGCUGAAUAUGAAGUAUUGAGUGUGUGGUGCUUGUUUUCUUUCGCCGUUGUUGAUAUGUCACUAGCACUUGUCUAUCCGGUUGUCAAACCGUAACAUGUCUUUAAGAGUGUGUAUUAUGGUUUGCUGGGUGAGACUGCUCGCUUGUAUUCUCUUUGUUAAGUCAGUUUGCCUGUCCGUGUCCAGCUUCUGAAUAUAGCUGAAUUCUUUAUUUGUGUGAUCCCCCUUGAGCAGAAAAUUCUCCCUGAUUUUGUGUUCUUGUCAUGUACUCCUUCCGUUCCAUAUUACUUUGUACUAAAUCAGCGAUGAGUAAUAUGGAACGGAGGGAGUAUGUAUAUAGUAUAUACUGCAACUGCAUGUUAUAAUUCUUCUUGCUGCGUGCUUAGUAGUCUGUGAUCGGAUCUUCAAUUCUAUGCACAUGCCUGCGCGCUCUAUGCUGCAUCAGUGCAGUACGUUUACUGCGUGGUCAUGAUCAUGUGGUUUAUCCUUUCAUUCUUGGAUACCUUGAUCUGUCACAGUAUCCAGAGCACGGAGGUCACAUGGAUGUCGGUUUUGGUUAACUACAACUUGUAAGCCACAUUUCUUUUGCUCUGUAAUCAUUUUGCUUUAGAUCUGGUUUUCCCAUGGUCAAGUUGCCUUUAUCCUCUGCAUCUCUUCGCUUGUCUGCAUUCUCUGUUCUAUAUUGUUUCUGAGUUUACAGCCAAAGACUGGUGCGUCGAUUAAUGUGUUUCAACAGCACAUGAUGCUGAAAAGAUGCCAUCACUUCAUGCAAUUCCAAAUGCGUUUUGCAAUUAGCCAAUUGGUUGCAGCGUCAUGCCCGAGAGACCCACAGGCCUGGCAGAGAAUAGACUUGUGGAAGGUACAUGAUAGGAACACAUAAGGUAGAGAACUAAAAAAUGUUGAGAUAUUAUUGUUAAAAAAACUAAAUACGAUCGUAUCUGGGUGCGCACACCUGGUUUUGAGAUAAAAAUUUGGCAUACAAAACUGAGCCAAAAAUUGUAUUCUGUAAGAGAAAUAAUAAAAAGAGAGUGCCCAAAAUCGACUGCAAAUGCACAUACUUUUUUCAUGUGGUGUCUAAAUCAACGUAGUAUUGAUUUUUUUUCAUGACACCAGAUUAUUUUCAUCCAACAAUUAUUUCGCAGAUUUUCAAAAGUCAAAACCCUUGACGGGGAAACUCAUCUAGCUGGAGCACUAACAUUUUCUAAGAAAGUACAAAGUGUGCUGCUUGUAUACAUUCUGAGAGCAUCUCCGAUAAAAAAUGUAGAUGCAAAAAUACCUUUUGCAUCUCCGAGGGUCAAAAACACCUCUCCAACUUCCCACAAAAAAAA
rnacentral:lncRNA from 1 species